rnacentral:rRNA from 1 species
UUAUACAGCGAAACUGCGAAUGGCUCAUUAAAUCAGUUAUCGUUUAUUUGAUAGUACCUUACUACAUGGAUAACCGUGGUAAUUCUAGAGCUAAUACAUGCUAAAAAUCCCGACUUCGGAAGGGAUGUAUUUAUUAGAUUAAUAACCAAUGCCCUUCGGGGCUCUCUGGUGAUUCAUAAUAACUUCUCGAAUCGCACGGCCUUGCGCCGGCGAUGGUUCAUUCAAAUUUCUGCCCUAUCAACUUUCGACGGCUGGGUCUUGGCCAGCCGUGGUGACAACGGGUAACGGAGGGUUAGGGCUCAACCCCGGAGAAGGAGCCUGAGAAACGGCUACUACAUCCAAGGAAGGCAGCAGGCGCGCAAAUUACCCAAUCCCGACACGGGGAGGUAGUGACAAUAAAUACUGAUACAGGGCUCUUUCGGGUCUUGUAAUUGGAAUGAGUACAAUUUAAAUCCCUUAACGAGGAACAAUUGGAGGGCAAGUCUGGUGCCAGCAGCCGCGGUAAUUCCAGCUCCAAUAGCGUAUAUUAAAGUUGUUGAGGUUAAAAAGCUCGUAGUUGAACCUUGGGCCUAGCCGGCCGGUCCGCCUCACCGCGUGCACUGGCUCGGCUGGGUCUUUCCUUCUGGAGAACCGCAUGCCCUUCACUGGGUGUGCCGGGGAACCAGGACUUUUACUCUGAACAAA